GUUUGGUCCCAGCUUUAAACUCAACUACUACUCAACUUACACAUGCAAGUAUCCGCCCACCCGUGAAAACACCCUUACCCCUCACACAGGAAAAGGAGCCGGUAUCAGGCACAAUAAUAACGCCCAUGACACCUAGCCACGCCACACCCCCAAGGGCACUCAGCAGUGAUAAACAUUGCUCAUUAGCGCCAGCUUGACUCAGUCAAAGUAAAUAGGGCCGGCCAAUUCGGUGCCAGCCGCCGCGGCUAUCCCGCUUGGCUCAAGUUGACCUUAUCGGCGUUGAGCGUGGUUAAAGUACCCCCCCCCCCCUAGAGUUAAACCACAACCAAGUUGUAAUACACUUGUUUAUAAGAAACCCCUAAACGAAAGCUACUCUACCCCCACCUUGAACCCACGACAGCUGGAAUACAAACUGGGAUCAGAUACCCCACUAUGCCCAACCGUAAAAUAUCUACUCACACUAACAACCGCCCGGGAAUUACAAGACCCUUAAAACCCAAAGGACUUGACGGUGUCCCACCCACCUAGAGGAGCCUGUUCUAUCAUCGACACCCCACGAUCUACCUCACCACUCCUAGCACACUCAGUCUGUAUACCUCCGUCGUAAGCCUACCAUGUGAACGUCACAGUGGGCCAAAAGAUUCUCCACCCACACGUCAGGUCAAGGUGCAACUAACGGAACGGAAAGCAAUGGGCUACAAUUUCUAUCAUAGAACACACGAAAAACCAAAUGAAAUGCAGUCACGAAGGCGGAUUUAGAAGUAAAAAGAAAUCAGAAAACUCUUUUUAAUUAGGCCCUGGGACGCGUACACACCGCCCGUCACCCUCCUCAACAUACAUAGAGAGGAGGCAAGUCGUAACAUGGUAAGUGUACUGGAAAGUGCACUUGGACAAUCAAAAUGUAGCUUAACUAAAGCAUCUUGCUUACACCAAGAUAGACGUUGAUAAACCUCAACCAUUUUGAGCCUAAAUCUUAGCCCCCCCCUCCUACCCACACUUCUAUAAACAAAUAAAACAUUUUUUUAUCUAGUAAAGGCGAUUAAAAAAUACAUCGGAGCUAUAAAAACAGUACCGCAAGGGAAACAUGAAAUAAAAUGAAAACUCAAAGCAAAUUAAAGCAAAGUUUAACUCUUGUACCUUUUGCAUCAUGAUCUAGCCAGUUUAACCAGGCAAAACGCACCUAAAGUUUGACACCCCGAAACUAGACGAGCUACUUUAAAACAGCCCACGGGGCAAACUCAUCCCUAUUGCAAAACGGUGAGAAGAUUUUAAAGUAGAGGUGACACACCUACCGAGCCUAGAGAUAGCUGGUUAUUCAAAAAACGGAUAUAAGUCCAACUUUAAGUUUUUUUAGUCUACUAAACAAUUAUCAAACUUAAAAGCCAUUCAAAUAAGGUACAGCCUAUUUGAAUAAGGAAACAACCUACAAUAUAGGGUAAUAAUUAACAAGCAUGACCAAGUAGGCCUAAAAGCAGCCACCUCCAAAAGCGUCCAAGCUUCCUCAUAAACUAUAUUUUAUCCCACUAUUAACCCCCAACCCUUAAACCCCCACUGAAUGACCCCAUACCCAUAUGGAAGACAUCAUGCUAGAACUAGUAACAAGAAGACGAACUUCUCCAAAAUGCAAGCGUAGGCCAAAAUAAACUUCUUGCCGGCAUUUACCACUAUAACAGUACAUUUUCACAAGAAAACUCUACUAACACAAGCGCUAACCUAACACCAGAGCAUUACUGGAAAGAUUAAAAGGAGGGGAAGGAACUCGGCAAACCCCAGCCCCGCCUGUUUACCAAAAACAUCGCCUCUUGAAAGUAUAAGAGGUCUAGCCUGCCCAGUGACUAAUAGUUAAACGGCCGCGGUACCCUAACCGUGCAAAGGUAGCACAAUCACUUGUUCUCUAAAUCAGGACUAGUAUGAACGGCCCAACGAGAGCUAUGCUGUCUCCCCCCCCUAAUCAGUGAAACUGAUCCCCUCGUGAAGAAGCGAGGAUGCCCCAAUAAGACGAGAAGACCCCAUGGAACUUUAAACUAGUACCACCCCUUACACUAAGGCCACUUGACUACUAGUCUUUCGGCUGGGGCGACCACGGAGAAAAAUAAAACCCCCGAGAUGAAAGGAAAUAUCCUUAUCCCAGAACUACUAUUCAAAGAAUCAAUAAAUGACAUAAUUGACCCAAUACUUGAUCAACGAACCAAGCUACCCUGGGGAUAACAGCGCAAUCCAUUUCAAGAGACCUCAUCGACAAAUGGGCUUACGACCUCGAUGUUGGAUCAGGGUAUCCUAGUGGUGCAACCGCUA
rnacentral:ncRNA from 1 species